rnacentral:rRNA from 1 species
AUGCCAGAGCCUCAGCAGUGUGAGCGUCCACCACAGGACCGAGGAAGAAAUUCUCGGCCACCACUAGCACACUUCGCGGAUCACAGCGCCGCUGGUGCUGGACCCCUCUUCAUGGAUGAAAGAAGCAUUACACCCAUUAACAGUGACUUGUUGGGCGAGCAAAUAGCUACGCCACGUGUGCCCCACAGAAAAAAGAGAAAAAGGAGAGAAAAAAACGCGCUGGGAAAAAAGGAAGCGCUCAUUGUCUAUCCUGUUGGCCUACGCGUCGUAUGCUCAUUUGCUGUUGCUCAACCGAGAGAGUAUCCUUUUCUUGUUCUCACACGCAUCCUCCUCCCUUCCUCCCCAAAGUGGCGGCUGCUGCCGGCACCUCAUCUAGUCUUCUCUGGCGCCGGCCACCGGAGAAAUUUUCCUCUUGAUCCGCUUCUCCCUCGGCAUUCUCCUCUUGGCGACUACGUGGACACCUGCUGCUCCUUGCAAGGCAUGGCGUUGCUACUCCCCUACGGCCCCUCAUCAAUGCAGCAAGGUGUGGUGCUGCUUGUCCAACCUGAGCUGAGUAGCUCCCCCCACCCCUUUUAUGUGAUGAUAAUGAUUGACCAUAUAUCAGUAGUGGUUGUAUGGAAAUAG